UACAGAGGGUGCGAGCGUUUGUUCGGAAUUAUUGGGCGUAAAGGGCGCGUAGGCGGCGCCACAAGUCACUUGUGAAAACUCUGGGCUCAACUCAGAGCCUGCAAGCGAAACUGUGGUGCUGGAGUAUGGGAGAGGUGCGUGGAAUUCCCGGUGUAGCGGUGAAAUGCGUAGAUAUCAGGAGGAACACCAGCGGUGUAGACGGCUUUCUGGACCAUUGCUGACGCUGAGACACGAAAGCGUGGGUAGCAAACAGG
rnacentral:rRNA from 1 species